CUCUUUAGGUGCUUAGUGCAGCUCAGAACUGUCAAGAUGAACAUUUUCUUCUCAAUCUUCUCUUUCCUUCUUAUGGUUCUGCCGCCUCUUCUCACAGCUCUUCACUGUGAUGAAAAGAGUAUAACAUCACAGCAAAACCCAGCAGAGGUGCAAGUAAACCGCAGCAGUUUGAAAUGCAUGCAUCACCUUGCAGAGGCUGUAUUCCCAUCUAACCACCCACGAGCAUGGCCCCCAAAAGCAGGAUUUGGUACAUGUGCACUUCGACCGCAAAGCCCUGUCACACAAAAAUCUUCUCAUGCCAUCUGUCGUAACAGUUUGCAGGCUGACAUAUCCAACCACCAUACAUCUA
ensembl:lncRNA